rnacentral:lncRNA from 1 species
AAAAAUCUAUAAACAAACCCAAUGAAGAUUAUAUUGUAAUAUCAUUUAAUAAAAAUUAUUAUUAGCUAUCUAAACUUGGGCAAACUCUUCACUUUUUGUAUUAGGCCAUUCUUGUGCUGCUAUGAAGAAAUAUCCGAGACUGGGUAAUUUAUAAAAUAAGAAGUUUGGCUCACAGUUCUGCAAGCUGUGCAAGAAGAAUAGCAGCAUCUGCUUCUGGGGUGGCCUCAGGAAGCUUCCAAUCAUGGCAGAAAGCAAAGCCAGGUCGCCAUGGGUUGGGCAGAUCCUGAAGAGCACCAACUUGAGUCUGACAGUCCUUCCAGAACACGGCACCCACCUCCACCAUGUAACACAGCCAAGUGAAACACUAAGGAGGCUCUGUAAGGCAUGACUCUGAAGAAGGCCACUAUCUUUUACUGCCAUGACACCAUUUCUCAGAACACAUCACAUGGCCCCUGAGUGGUCAGGAGUCCAGAGAAAAACAGUCAAGCCCUCCUUUAAUAGUAAAAUUUUUGUCUGACCCUCUC